rnacentral:sRNA from 1 species
UCUUGGUCAUUUAGAGGAAGUAAAAGUCGUAACAAGGUCUCCGUUGGUGAACCAGCGGAGGGAUCAUUACCGAGUUUUCAACUCCCAAACCCUUAUGUGAACCUACCUAUCGUUGCUUCGGCGGACUCGCCCCAGCCGGACGCGGACUGGACCAGCGGCCGCCGGGGACCAUCAAACUCUUGUAUUAUCAGCAUCUUCUGAAUACGCCGCAAGGCAAAACAAAUAAAUUAAAACUUUCAACAACGGAUCUCUUGGCUCUGGCAUCGAUGAAGAACGCAGCGAAAUGCGAUAAGUAAUGUGAAUUGCAGAAUCCAGUGAAUCAUCGAAUCUUUGAACGCACAUUGCGCCCGCCAGCAUUCUGGCGGGCAUGCCUGUUCGAGCGUCAUUUCAACCCUCGACCUCCCUUUGGGGAAGUCGGCGUUGGGGACCGGCAGCACACCGCCGGCCCUGAAAUGGAGUGGCGGCCCGUCCGCGGCGACCUCUGCGUAGUAAACCAACUCGCACCGGAACCCCGACGUGGCCACGCCGUAAAACACCCAACUUCUGAACGUGACCUCGAA